GACGUAGGUGGCGAACGUUAUCCGGAAUUAUUGGGCGUAAAGGGUGCGUAGCCGGCAUGACAAGUUAUUGGCGGGAAAUCGAGGCUCAACCUCGUGGAAACUAGUAAUACUGUUUUGCUUGAGUACAGGAGAGGUUAACGGAACUCCAUGUGGAGCGGUAAAAUGUGUAGAUAUAUGGAAGAACACCAAUAACGGCGAAGGCAGUUAACUAUUCUGUUACUGACGUUGAGGCACGAAAGCGUGGGGAGCAAAACGG
rnacentral:rRNA from 1 species